rnacentral:tRNA from 1 species
ACUCAAAUAGUUUAAUUUAGAAUAAUAAUUUGUGGUAUUAUAGGUAUAUAUUUUAUUUUGAGUC